rnacentral:rRNA from 1 species
UUUUAGAUAAUAAUUUAAAGUUGGGCCUGCCCACUGAAUUUUUGAAGGGCCGCGGUAUUUUGACUGUGCAAAGGUAGCAUAAUCAUUAGUUUUUUAAUUGAAAGCUGGAAUGAAUGGUUUGAUGAGAAAAUAACUGUUUCAAUUUUAAUUUAUUGAAUUUUAUUUUUAAGUUAAAAAGCUUAAAUUUUAUUUAAAGACGAGAAGACCCUAUAGAGUUUAACUGAAAUUAAAUUUUAAGAUUUUAGAAUUUUAAAUUUUAAAUUUUAAUUGAGUUUUAUUGGGGUGAUAAAAAAAUUAAAUUAACUUUUUUUGUAUUAAAACAAUAAUGAUUGAAUUUUUGAUCCAUAAAAAUGAUUAUAAGAUUAAAUUACCUUAGGGAUAACAGCGUAAUUUUUUUUGAGAGUUCUUAUUGAAAAAAAGGAUUGCGACCUCGAUGUUGGAUUAAAAUUUAUUUUUGGUGAAGAAGCUGAAUAAUUAGGUCUGUUCGACCUUUAAAAUUUUACA